rnacentral:lncRNA from 1 species
UUCUUUUUCUUUUUACAACCACACAACCAUGAGCAUUUUCUUUGUUUUUUUCUUUGCUCUAUGGUUUCAAGGGUGAUUUCUUUUUCUUGUUUCUUUUCAUAUUUUCACCCUUUCAUAAAAACUCACUUUUCCAAGUUUCUAAUCAAAUCUUUUUACUUUACUCUCCCCAACUUUAGAUUCCAAAACCAAAUUUAUUCAAUAAUGCUCCUUACUUAGACAUAAGCAAAAGGCAAAAUUUGCAAACAACUCGGUUUGAAGGUUCAAUUGACACGA